rnacentral:lncRNA from 1 species
UGAAUUUUGCAAACAAGGAUGUCGAUAUUUAAGUGAUUUUUUUGAUAUCUUUGCCGAGAAAGAUGAGGUUACAAGAACCAAGUUCCAUAGUUCAAAAACAUUUGAAUUGAAUGAUUUUUUUACGCUCUUUGAGGAAGAAUCCCUAGAUGUUGUUGAAGAUGUGUUUUUUAAAGAAUUUGGCGUAUGUGUUGAUCCGAUUUGGGAAACUUUUAUAGCCAAUUUUCAGCAACAUGUUCCUUCUUUUCAUGAAAAACAGUUGGGGAUUUUAUGUUUCAAGUAUCAUUGUUUUGUGAGGUUCUUAAAAUUUGAUUUUUAUGCAAGUAAAGUUCGUGGAAGAAUUCA